rnacentral:rRNA from 1 species
GACUACUGGGGUAUCUAAUCCCGUUCGCUCCCCACGCUCUCGCGCCUCAGCGUCAGUGUCCGUCCAGAAGGCCGCCUUCGCCACCGACGUUCUGCCUGAUCUCUACGCAUUUCACCGCUCCACCAGGCAUUCCGCCUUCCCCUCCGGCACUCUAGCCCGACAGUCGGCACCGCUCUUCCCCAGCUAAGCCGAGGGCUUUCACGAUCCCCUUGUCGCGCCGCCUACGCGCCCUUUACGCCCAGUAAUUCCGAACAACGCUUGCCCCCUCCGUCUUACCGCGGCUGCUGGCACGGAGUUAGCCGGGGCUUCCUCACCCAGUACCGUCCACUCAUGACCCUCUUCCUGCCAUGACCGUCGUCCCAGGCAACAGCGCUUUACACCCCGAAGGGCGUCGUCGCGCACGCGGCGUUGCUGCGUCAGGGUUGCCCCCAUUGCGCAAAAUUCCCCACUGCAGCCUCCCGUAGG